rnacentral:misc_RNA from 1 species
CCGAGCGAGGGCCCCCGGGCCCGACCUCCCACCCCAUGUGGUCUCCAUCAACCCCGUGCCUCGGGGGUGACCGGCGCCCGCCUCCGCGCGGCGCGCCGGGCCCCCGGCGGACCCCUCAACGCAGCGCUCUGUGCCGUCGAGUCGUUUGGGACAAAUCGCAAGCA